rnacentral:rRNA from 1 species
UGGGGAAUUUUGGACAAUGGGCGCAAGCCUGAUCCAGCCAUUCCGCGUGCAGGAUGAAGGCCUUCGGGUUGUAAACUGCUUUUGUACGGAACGAAAAGCCGCUUUCUAAUACAGAGCGGUCAUGACGGUACCGUAAGAAUAAGCACCGGCUAACUACGUGCCAGCAGCCGCGGUAAUACGUAGGGUGCGAGCGUUAAUCGGAAUUACUGGGCGUAAAGCGUGCGCAGGCGGUUUGUAAGCCAGAUGUGAAAUCCCCGGGCUCAACCUGGGAAUGGCAUUUGGGACUGCAAGGCUGGAGUGCGGCAGAGGAGACUGGAAUUCCCGGUGUAGCAGUGAAAUGCGUAGAUAUCGGGAGGAAUACCGAUGGCGAAGGCAGGUCUCUGGGCUGACACUGACGCUCAUGCACGAAAGCGUGGGGAGCAAACAGGAUUAGAUACCCUGGUAGUCCACGCCCUAAACGAUGUCGACUGGUUGUUGGGGGUUUGACGAC